UCCCAAAAUAGUGGCGCUCAUGCCAGCCAUGUGAGCAGAGGUAUUGGAGGACAAAAACAACAUUGUGCCUGCACCCCCUCCUCCUCGGAAGAAGACAUCACUUCUCCUGGAUCCAGUGAUUCCAUCGAUCCAUGGCAGAAGACCCGGCUAACCACGGUAAAAAACAGCAGGGAGAGGAUUGGCCCUACAUGGAAACCUCUAGCCUACAGGGAUAUAAACGGACUGAGAUGGCCUGGGUAGUCGGGGCAUUUGAGAGGGUUGGCUCAUUACUAUGGCAACACCUGACCUCCAAGCAAGAUGUAAGAAAGUGAUCUCCACCACUGGACAGCGAAAAAGGAGUCGAUUGUCAAGACAUUGGGAGGGGCUAAAGGGUAAAAAGGUAAAGGACCUCGGUGGGUUCCAGCAAAGAACAUCAUGCCAUAUCUGCAGCCUCUGCAAGAUCACCAAGAAGCUCUACAGGAGGAAUCCUGAGAAGAACCUGCAGAAAUGAUACCUUGAGGCUUGCAAAUAACCAUCUCUCACUUCCUAUCUGUUGUUAAUUAAUGCCACUAUUUUCUUAACCCCUUAAACAUUAUUAAUUUUUGAGUUUAACCCACAGGUUGUUCCACUGGAAAUGGCUCCUAGGAGACUCCUGUUCACUAUACCCAUCCUGAUCGAUGCCGUGCUCCUCGCUAAGACCUGGGAAGUCCCACAGCAAAGAAAAAUGUCUGGGUUACAUUAGCUAACAUCACCAAGCAGGAAACCCUGUGUCUGUCAGUAGCCACCCCUGAUAACCCCUUUUCCACCUGCUUAGUGGUGUUAUCAAUGGAUGUGUGGCCCUUAAACAAGGAUGCCAUCCAUGUUUUGCUUCCUCACAAGGAAUGGAUUCACAAUCCCAUUGAUAACUGGGAUUACUGGGCCAGGAAGUUACCACAUGCACCACUAGAACCCCAAGAACUGGAAAUUCUAGGCUCUGUAAAAAAGUAUUUUUGUGUUAGAUUUCAUUAUAUCAAAAUUACUCCCAAUUUAUUAUAUACUAUCAUUACUGCCGGUGCUAUAACAAAGCAACCAGAUACAUUGUGGGAUGUUUCCCCACAUCAUGCAGUUUAUAAAAAUGAAAGUACCUGGUGUAACUACACCCAUCAUUUCCUGGUCCAGAAAACACCCAUUACAGUUACCACCUGGGACAUUUCUCAUUUGUGGAGACAGAGCAUGUCCUGCCAUUCCAUCUUGCAUUAAGGGCAGGCCAUGUAGCCUGGGGAGGCUUACUGUACUAGUGGUACAGGAUAUGCCAUAUGACCAAGCCCCAGGAUUGGCUUCUCCCAGUCAGAUCUCUUGUAAUGCUGCAAGCAUUUCACUGGCCAGAUCCCAAUGAGGCGUGGAGUUCAGACCAAUGAGAAUAUCCAGACCAGGUCUUUCAAAAUGCCCUUUAUAAGGGGGUGGGGGGUGUGGAAAAGAAAUCUCUCUGUUGCCACACAAACAUCUGGGGGUGCGUUGUGUCUUCGUCUCCUUGCCCCUCACCCCUGCCAUGUGCAACCUAACAUGUAGUGACCUCCGAAGUGAUCAGGACUCAGCCAUAGCCUGGCACAGAGCAAAGGAGACAGAUGGCCAGCUGGUUUUUGGUCUAGAACUGAAUUAAUAAACAGCCUGAGAGCUGGGAAUUGGAGUAAAACCUGGACAACAGGACAUCAGAGCCUGGAUUGGUGCUUGGAACCAGAGGCAGCCUGAGAGAUGGGAACAGCAUAAAAGGAAUGGUGUAAAAACCAGACUUUUGGUGAAAAAUUGGGAUUCACUGGCUAGACAGUGGUGUGAAAAAUGUAUAUUUUAUGAUUGGCUUUUCACAAAUGUUACAAUGAAUAUUAUAUGUGUAAUGUUGGAAAGUUACGCGGUAUUAACAUUUUAAUAAUAGAGUAAAUGUAGUUUUGCAAUUAAAAUUAAGCUUUAGUAGUUAAAAUAGAACCUAUGGGUGUGAGAUAAGAUAAUCAAGAAAUUCUUCGCACAGAGAUAACAAUUACAGAAACCACUAAAUUUUCCAGAGGAGAGGAAUUUAUGGCUUUCCUUAUCAAUAGAAAUGAACUUCCUCAAGCCUGACUUAGACUCGAAGGCGCCUGGGGAUUAACAGAAAUUUUUUUAUAAGUACCAGACGAAUAUCUUGUUUUAAAUAAAAUACAUGCAUAAUCAUGAA